rnacentral:tRNA from 1 species
GUCCAGGGAUGGGAAUCGAACCCACUGUGCUUACCGGGCAGAUGCCUUGUCCACUAGGUCACCCUGGA